rnacentral:lncRNA from 1 species
AACACAAACCCUGCUGCGCCAAGCUUCCCUUCCCUUCCUUGCAAAAUGGGCCAUGUGCAAUUUUCCAAGCCCUGUUUUAAUCACCAAGGGUCAACCCUGCAUUGCUCUGAGGACUUCCCUUCCACAUGAAGGAGCAGCAUCUGUCCUUUCCAUCUGUCCCAGCAGCUCCCUGGGCAAAGCCGCACUGGGGAUGCUCCGGCUGCAGUUGCCACAACAACAAAACGAGGCAACAGUUUCCCCGGUGGAUGCACAAGCAGCAUCAAUGCCUUGUGGGCACAAUGGGGACCAGGGCAGGCAAAAGGUGCCACAGCCGCGCUGGUGCUGGUGGCACAUCCAGGUGGGAUGAUGCCUUUUGCAGCCAUGAGCAUCCCCAGGACUUUCACUUCCACCACCCUGUUCCCUGGGCCAGCUGAAAUGCGGGUACUCUCAUCCCCUUCCCCUCAAAAUCCAGUCUGUCUCUGCCCUUCUUGGCCCCAGGAGGUGCUCGGUGUGUGCAGGGCUUACAUGGGUGUCCAGGGGGAGCCAGCACAGGGGGGUGACACUGUGGCUAAUGGGACACGAUCCCUUUCCAGCUCUCCACACAGCAAACACCAAGUCCCAUGAGGGCACUGGGGCAGCUUCGCCAAGCCCAUCCCUCCCAGCUGCCCUUCCCUGCAGCGACCCCAUCUCCAAAUGUGUUCUCCCCUAAAGGCUCCCCCUUCCCUGUUCCCUCAAGCAGCAGCAACCACGUCAAGCUUUUCCCUUUCUGCUGCUCCCGGGAGGAAGGCCUUGGCGGCUGCCCAGCAGCUCCGCAAUCUUGCUCUGUCACGGGCUCGCUGCCAGCUUGGGCUGGGGGCCGGGAGGAGGGGGAGAACGGAAACCUCACCCCGGCACCCACAAACCCCCGUGGGCGCUGCGCCUCCACGCUGGGAGAAGGCCGAGGGGCAAAGGGCGACGGCCGCCCACGUGCCAGCGCUAGUGGAGUUUGAAUCCGGCGCCGCGGCGUCCACGCCACCCCUGGGACUCGUGCAAGAGGACAGGGAGGACGAAGCACGGCCGCACCGAGCCGCUGCACGCGGGGCUCCUGGCGAGCCCUGAGGCGACCGCACGAUUCUCGCUGCCCAGCCUGGGACCUGCAGCGGCUGGGAACGGCGCUGGCCCCGGCCGGGCCCGGCCGCCCGCCUCGCCCGGCCCGGGGCUCCCAGCUCCGGCCGCCCCCCUCAGCCCCGCCGCUCUCCCGCGCCGCCGGCGCCAUCUUGCGGGCGGCUGCGCGGGCGGGAGCGGGGCCAAAAUGGAGGCGGCGCCGGGCGAGCCUCGGGGCUGAGGGGAGCGGGGCCGGCGGCGGCCCCAAGGCGGGGA